rnacentral:rRNA from 1 species
CUAGCCUUAAAAUUUAAGCCAUGCAUGUCUAGUAUAAGCAAUUUAUACAGUGAAACUGCGAAUGGCUCAUUAAAUCAGUUAUCGUUUAUUUGAUAGUUCCUUUACUACAUGGUAUAACUGUGGUAAUUCUAGAGCUAAUACAUGCUUAAAAUCUCGACCCUUUGGAAGAGAUGUAUUUAUUAGAUAAAAAAUCAAUGUCUUCGGACUCUUUGAUGAUUCAUAAUAACUUUUCGAAUCGCAUGGCCUUGUGCUGGCGAUGGUUCAUUCAAAUUUCUGCCCUAUCAACUUUCGAUGGUAGGAUAGUGGCCUACCAUGGUUUCAACGGGUAACGGGGAAUAAGGGUUCGAUUCCGGAGAGGGAGCCUGAGAAACGGCUACCACAUCCAAGGAAGGCAGCAGGCGCGCAAAUUACCCAAUCCUAAUUCAGGGAGGUAGUGACAAUAAAUAACGAUACAGGGCCCAUUCGGGUCUUGUAAUUGGAAUGAGUACAAUGUAAAUACCUUAACGAGGAACAAUUGGAGGGCAAGUCUGGUGCCAGCAGCCGCGGUAAUUCCAG